UACGAAGGGGGCUAGCGUUGUUCGGAAUUACUGGGCGUAAAGCGCACGUAGGCGGCUUUGUAAGUUAGAGGUGAAAGCCCGGGGCUCAACCCCGGAAUUGCCUUUAAGACUGCAUCGCUUGAACGUCGGAGAGGUGAGUGGAAUUCCGAGUGUAGAGGUGAAAUGCGUAGAUAUCUGGAGGAAUACCGGUGGCGAAGGCGGCAUCCUGGACCGAUAUUGACGCUGAUGAGCGAAAGCUAGGGGAGCAAACGGG
rnacentral:rRNA from 1 species